rnacentral:rRNA from 1 species
CCUACGGGUGGCAGCAGUGAGGAAUCUUGGUCAAUGGGCGGGAGCCUGAACCAGCCAAGUAGCGUUAGGGAAGACGGUCCUAUGGAUUGUAAACCUCUUUAGGCGGGGAGCAAUGCCGGGCACGCGUGCCCGGAGGGAGAGUACCCGCAGAAUAAGCAUCGGCUAAAUCCGUGCCAGCGCCCGCGGUAAUACGGAGGAUGCGAGGGUUAUCCGGUGUUAUUGGGUUAAAAGGGUGCGAAGGCGGAUUUUUAAGUCUGCGGUAAAAUGUCCGGGCUCAACCCGGGCCGGCCGUUGAAACUGGGGAUCUUGAGUGGGCGGGAGGUAUGCGGAAUGCGUGGUGUAGCGGUGAAAUGCAUAGAUAUCACGAAGAACUCAGAUUGCGAAGGCAGCAUACCGGCGCCCGACUGACGCUGAGGCACGAAAGCGUGGGGAUCGAACAGGAUUAGAUACCCUAGUAGUC